ACGCUCGACACCUACGGGAGGCGGCAGUGGGGAAUAUUGCACAAUGGGGGAAACCCUGAUGCAGCGACGCCGCGUGAAGGAAGAAGUAUCUCGGUAUGUAAACUUCUAUCAGCAGGGAAGAAAGUGACGGUACCUGACUAAGAAGCCCCGGCUAACUACGUACCAGCAGCCGCGGUAAUCUGAGCGGGCUGGCAAGGC
rnacentral:rRNA from 1 species